CCCAGGCACAGCCCUGUGCUGAAUGACUUUGUCACAAAGGAAGUAAGGCUGCCGGCUGUCCCUGCUGUCGAUGUGACACUGUACAAAGGUAAGAUGAGAAAAGAGACAACAACUGAAGACAGAGGAAAGGAGGGAAGCCAGAAUCAUGAUAAAGAGAGAGCUUGGAGAGUAGCAAGAGAUGUCUCUGAUAGACAGCGAGGGAUCCGCAUCCAUCAGAGAUCUGAGCUAUGGACCUUGCUGGCAGGUUAAGAUGUCUCCAGGAUUUCCAGCCUUCUCCUGAAGCUUCGUGGUCUAAUUGCUCAUCCCUAGAGCACAGGAUUAUGAUGGAGCAUCCCUGGGUGUGUGAUCAAGAAGAUCUUACGCCACUUGAUUUGCUCCGAACAAAGGGUAAAGUGCAGAAGACCGGUUGCAGCUGGGAGAGAAGGGAUCUCUGCUUUCCAUGGGAGUGAUGGAGCCCAUCUGGGCUUGGCCAGAUAGGGGAGAGCUCCAAAAGGAUCAUGAGGUUUUCUGCCUGCUGGCUCUCACCACAACCCACCCGUCUCUGACAACCCAUUCAGCACUGGCUUUUCUCCAUGGUGGCAAAUGCCAUGUGUUAAAGCCUGGGUGGGAUCCAGCUCUGUGCCAGCCAGCCUGAACCCAGGACACAGGGGACACAGGAGGCUCAGGGACCUGGAGCAGCAAUGUCCAAGGGGGGCGCUGGAAUGAGAGCUUUGUGCUCUCCAUCUCCAUCCUUCCCACACUGAGAGCGAUUCCCCACCACUGGUAUCCUGCAGCAGGAGGGUGUGAGAUAAAAGCCAGCAACGAA